rnacentral:rRNA from 1 species
UACGGAAGGUCCGGGCGUUAUCCGGAUUUAUUGGGUUUAAAGGGAGCGUAGGCGGAAUCCCAAGCGUGUUGUGAAAAUCAGGUGCCCAACAUCUGACUUGCAGCGCGAACUGGGAUCCUUGAGGGCGCACGACGCAGGCGGAAUUUGUGGUGUAGCGGUGAAAUGCUUAGAUAUCACGAAGAACACCGAUUGCGAAGGCAGCUUGCGGGAGCGCCACUGACGCUGAAGCUCGAAAGUGCGGGAAUCAAAC